AAUAGUCCCAAAACUGCCCAAAGGCAGCCAUUACAAACAUGCACACACAUAAUCAAAAUCAAGUAUAUUCUCGGCCUUAGACAUUACAUUUUCAGACACAGUUUGCUUUGGUUUUAGUGACAAGACUUCUACUUAACUAUGUUUAAGCUUUUAUCCAGGUGACUUGCUUUGUAGUAUGUGUUUAGUUUAAGGCUUGAUGGUUUGGGUUAUGCAAGUAGAUUAACAUUUUAAACCAUUUAGGAUUCCAAAUGCCUUUAUUCAUAUGACCAGUGGUGCUCAGCUUUAUUUCUGCAUUGUUUUCUGCUCCUCAGUGAUCAGACGGGAUGAUAAUGGUCCCCUGAGUCUACAAAAACAUGGAGACGAGCUCUCUCUGACUGCAUGCGUGGGAUCGUGUGCUCUUCUUCAGAUGAUUACAUUCCAAGCGGCUUCUGUAGGUUGAUCCCUGGCUCAAAUGGGUUUGGCCCGGCUUUAAGGACAAAAUGGUCAAUGUCCGCCCAGUUGGAUAAAAAAAUUGACAAAUGGGGAUACAAAUAGUUCAAGAUCAGCUUUGACUGUGAGGAAUAAGGGAGAUGCCCAUGAAGCUUAAACAAUACUCAAAG